rnacentral:rRNA from 1 species
AGAUAUUAUUCCCUUGUAGUGUAGUUUAAUAGCUAUCUACAUAGUAACUUAACAUUAAUUAUGUUAGUUUAUAUAUUAUAGUAUGACGCUAGCAAUUUUGUUAAUAAAUUGAAAAUGUUAGUAUUAGUAAUAUUAGUAUAUGUGCUAAAGGAACUCGGCAAAAAACCGCUCAACUGUUUAUCAAAAACAUAGCUAUAUGAAUUAGUAUAUAGUUGUUUCUGCUCAAUGACUUAAAUAGCCGCAGUACUCUGACUGUGCAAAGGUAGCAUAAUCAGUUGGCUUUUAAUUAGAGUCUGGUAUGAACGAAAAUAUGGGUAGUAACUGUCUUAGCACAUUUCUUUGAACUUGUUAAACAAGUGCAAAUACUUGUAAUUAAACAAUAGACGAGAAGACCCUAGAAACUUGGACAUGUUUUUGUUGGGGCGACAGAAUUACAUUUAACUAAUCUUCUAAUACAUGACGCGAUGCUGGAAGAAUAAGUUACUCUAGGGAUAACAGCAUAAUUUCAUUAGUUUGUGACCUCGAUGUUGGACUAGGUACUAUACCCUUAAGGCAAGGAUAUAUUGUGCUCUGUUCGAGCAAAAUUACCUACAUGAUCUGAGUUCAGACCG